UACGUAGGGCGCAAGCGUUGUCCGGAAUUAUUGGGCGUAAAGAGCUCGUAGGCGGCCUGUUAUGUCUGCUGUGAAAUCCCGGGGCUUAACCCCGGGCGUGCAGUGGAUACGGGCAGGCUGGAGGCAGGCAGGGGAGAACGGAAUUCCCGGUGUAGCGGUGAAAUGCGCAGAUAUCGGGAGGAACACCGGUGGCGAAGGCGGUUCUCUGGGCCUGUACUGACGCUGAGGAGCGAAAGCGUGGGGAGCGAACAGG
rnacentral:rRNA from 1 species